GACGAACGCUGGCGGCGUGCUUAACACAUGCAAGUCGAACGGAAAGGCCCUGCUUUUGUGGGGUGCUCGAGUGGCGAACGGGGGAGUAACACGUGAGUAACCUGCCCUUGACUUUGGGGUAACUUCAGGAAACUGGGGCUAAUACCGGAGAGGAGCUCCUGCUGCAUGUGGGGGGUUGGAAAGUGUCGGCGGUGGGGGAUGGACUCGCGGCUUAUCAGCUUGUUUGGUGGGUAGGGGCUUCCCAAGGCUUUGACGGGUAGCCGGCCUGAGAGGGUGACCGGCCACAUUGGGCCUGCGAUACGGACCAGACUCCUACGGGAGGCAGCAGUGGGGAAUAUUGCACAAUGGGCGGAAGCCUGAUGCAGAAACGCCGCGUGCGGGAUGCCGGCCUUCGGGUUGUAAACCGCUUUCGCCUGUGACGAAGCGUGAGUGACGGUAAUGGGUAAAGAAGCACCGGCUAACUACGUG
rnacentral:rRNA from 1 species